UAAUUCUCAGCAUUUGUCUGUCCUAGAAUUCACCAGCCCCAGAAUUUUUCUGCCGCAGAAUGCACCAAGUCCCAAACAAAACCCCAGCAUUCACCAAGCCGAAAUUCAGCAAGCGUUUUGUGGCCGCAGCAUCAACCUCGUCAAGUAGUGCCCCUCCCAAGAAACAUCCAAUUCUAAGCCUCCUUGGGGGAUUACAAAGCAAAUCUGAAGAGAGAAUUGACCCACCAUUCCAAGCAGUCACCAAUUCAAGAGUCCUGGAUGAGGCGCAACAAGCGUUAAGAGAAAACACAAACGCCCUCAAUCGCAACACCAGAGCAAUUGAAAACUUUACAACGCAUGUGAAGCUUCUCACAGAGAGCAUUGGGUUUCUCAAUGCCUUCAUCAUGUCAGAGAGAGAAGGACAGGAUUAGCGGACAGGUGUUUGCCACCCUAAGGAUUAAAUUUAUUUUUUCAAUUUAAUUCAAUUUAAUGUAUUGUGUCGUAUUUGUAUCGUGUAUAAUGUAUUUAAUGUAUUGUGUGUCGGCAUUGGUACAUUUUAACAUCAGAUUUUUUAGAUUUUUUCAUGCCAAACAAAAGAUAUUUUUGGAAGAGUCAUUUUCGUGAGUUUUUGUAACAUAUGUUUUCUUUUUGUAUAAAAGACGUUUUCAUUUAUCAAAGGUUUCUUUAUUAAUCAAAGGUUCUUUUCAUCAUCAUCACCACCACCACCCUUCUUCCUUAGAAAUAAUUGAAUGAAGCCACUCGCGUAAUUAUCUUGCCAUUAGAUUGUGAAGUGCUGGUUUAUAACUCUCUCACGCACGGCCAACCCAACGUUUCGAAGCUGCUGUGCAGUC
rnacentral:lncRNA from 1 species